rnacentral:rRNA from 1 species
UACGGAGGAUGCGAGCGUUAUCCGGAUUUAUUGGGUUUAAAGGGUGCGUAGGCGGGCUCUUAAGUCAGCGGUAAAAAUUCGGGGCUCAACCCCGUCCGGCCGUUGAAACUGGGGGUCUUGAGUGGGCGAGAAGAAGGCGGAAUGCGUGGUGUAGCGGUGAAAUGCAUAGAUAUCACGCAGAACCCCGAUUGCGAAGGCAGCCUUCCGGCGCCCUACUGACGCUGAGGCACGAGAGUGCGGGGAUCGAACAGG